UACGAAGGGUGCAAGCGUUACUCGGAAUUACUGGGCGUAAAGCGUGCGUAGGUGGUUCGUUAAGUCUGCCGUGAAAGCCCCGGGCUCAACCUGGGAAUGGCGGUGGAUACUGGCGGACUAGAGUGCGGUAGAGGGUGGUGGAAUUCCCGGUGUAGCAGUGAAAUGCGUAGAGAUCGGGAGGAACAUCUGUGGCGAAGGCGGCCACCUGGACCAGCACUGACACUGAGGCACGAAAGCGUGGGAGCAAACAGG
rnacentral:rRNA from 1 species